UGAAAGUGCUUGCACUCAUACAUGAGUGCCCUGUGGUAAUUUGGAGAAGAAAAAGGGAGAAGAGGAAAGCAGAAGAUUUCAACACCUUUUUAGCAAAAGAUGUUCACAUAAACCUGAAAUGAAUAUAGCCAAAGAGGACGUGGUCUUUCAGCACCUCCAGCUAAAAAAUGCUGCAGAGGAACUUCCUGUAUUAAGAUGGGGUUUCACCAUGUUCGCCAGGAUGGUCUCGAUCUCCUGACCUCGUGAUCUGUCCACCUCUGCCUCCCAAAGUGCUGAGAUUACAGGUGUGAGCCACCACUCCCAGCCUUUGUCAUCAUUUCAGAUAGGGUGAAGGAAUGGUUUAA
rnacentral:lncRNA from 1 species